rnacentral:rRNA from 1 species
UAAAAGUCGUAACAAGGUUCCCGUAGGUGAACCUGCGGAAGGAUCAUUACCGUUACUCUGUGUCUUGCACACGCUGUAAACCACUGUGAACUGUUCCGAGCUUGUGGGGUGGUUCUUCUUUGCAGGAGAAUCUCAAAUGCAGUUAGACAGCCGAGGCUGGCUGCUGCGGCCCCACAUGUCUGUCUCUUAUGUUUUUCAAAACACUCGUCAAUUCAUUCCAGUUGAAUAGUAUCACUCUGGCCAGUCCAGUUUGAUACACAGUUUAAACACAUGACAACUUCUAACGGUGGAUCUCUUGGCUCGUGCAUCGAUGAAGAACGUAGCCAGUUGCGAUAAGUAGUGUGAAUUGCAGAAUUCAGUGAAUCAUCGAAUCUUUGAACGCAAAUUGCGCUCUCUGGAUAUCCAGGGAGCAUGCCUGUCUGAGUGUCGUGAUAAAAACUACACACCCCUGGUGUGGCAUGUGGGUAUCGAGUUUGCAGAUUGCUCAGGCGUUCUGUACUAAACUCGUCCUGCGAAGUGCGUGAACCUGAAUGUGCUGCUGACUGCAUGUGCAUUGGGAAGGCUCAACUUGCUUCUGUCUUUCCCUCUGCGUUCUCAUGCCAGCAGUAUCAUUGUAGAUGGUGAACAAGACGGUGUCCCACCCAUGGGGCGGGCACGAUGUCAAUUUCUGAUUUUGACCUCAGAUCAGACAAGACUACCCGCUGAAUUUAAGCAUAUC